AUUUAUGCUCUGCAGCUGCUGUUGCUUCUGAUCUCAUCGUUGCACCUAUGAAUACUCCGUGCUGCCAGUUGAAAGCCUCAUAGACCAGAGGCACGCCUGGAGAGAAGGAAGGAGGCACAGCAUUUAAAGAUAUGAAGAACAAAAUGGAUAAGGGAGCAAAUCCAAACUUGAAGGAAUGUACAUAUUAGGUAUGAAAUCUGCUUUAGAAACAAAGAGGGGCAAUUCCAGAGUUUGGCUGAAAGAAAAUGUGUAUUCCACAAUCUGACAUUUUCCUGAAAACUAUACCUUAUAGUGUUUCACAGAUGAAAAUGAGGACACAUCUAGCCACGCAACACUGAAGUGUGGUUAGGUGGCAAAAGUUAUUAAUCAUGAGAGGUAAGAGAGGCUGCAGCCAUUUGCUUUUAUCUAAAUAUACAGGGAAGUGAGACAUUUCACCCAUUUGUUUCCUCUCUCUCCAAUGACUACAUGUGAUUUUUGUACUUUGAACUCAAUUUACAGUAAACUGAGAAAAAUGGAAAGAAAUGUGGGAGGCAGAAAAGAAACUGGGAUGUUCCAAAAGCCCCAGGAAAAAGACAGCAGAGGAUGAACUGGUACUGUCCCUGUUGAACUAGGAUGUAAACUAGGAUGAACUGGGAUUUAAAAAAACAAGAAUUCGUCAAAGUUUAUUCAUACAAACAUUCCCGGAUUAUUUUUGGUCCAAGGAAGAUCUCCUGAAUAACUUCACUACAUGUGGCAUGUGAUUUUUCCAGAAUGUCUCCAACUUUUACUCAAUUCAUUUAGUUCGAUUUGCUUUGGAGAAUAUACCCAUCGUAUACUGCAUGAUACAGAGCACUGUUUAAGAAUUGCAAUGCAGUGAAGUCAGACUGGCUGCAACACAGCAAGAAAAGGGGUGUAUUUGAUCCAGGACAUUAUCCUCAAACCUUUGUUGCUCCAUAAAGUGCUGGCUCGAUGCCACGGCCAUUUCAGUUUCCCUUUGAAUGCUAUAAAACAUAAUUGAUACCUUGGUCAUCAAAUUUCAUCCAAGCAAUAUCGUCUCCAACACACUCAAUUUUCCAUCCUGGCAGAGUUGGUUUCAUCAUGGCCAAGUUGGUUUUUCCGCAUGCACUGGGGAAGGCUGCAGCAAAGUAUUUCUUUUUGCCCUCUGGGUUGGUGAUGCCCAAGAUCUGUUUUUUAAAGCACACAAAACACAAUUUUAAGGCACAUCAUGCAACAAAUCAUGACAGCACUAAGGGAUUUAAAGUAUUAACAACUUUAGCCUGCUAAACAAUUACUCUUGACCACUGUCCAGCUUUUCCAACCAUAUGAAUGAAACUGUUAUUUUAAGAAAUGUUGCUUCUACACAAUGCAGCAUAGAGGAAAUGCAGAUUUGAUUUUUGGAAUAGAUAUACUUGCAUAUUAUUUUUUCAUAUUUGCAGAUUGUGAUUUUCUUGAACAAAUUUAUUAUCAGAUUCAAGUAUAUUUUAUUGAUAAAUCUAUUUUAUUUAUCAUCUUUUUCUCUUGCUCGUUCUCCAAUUAACUUUAUGCAGUCUCAUAGAGUUAAACUCAGAACAAUCCUUUGCUGUAGAAAGAGUAAAAUUCAAGGCUAAAUGACAAUUUGAAUCCUGAUCUUCUCAGUUAGAGUCAAAUAUUCUAAUAUUGCCAAGGAGAUUAUGAAUAUAUAAAUGUAUUACUUCCAAACAUUUAUAAAUACAACUCCCAGUGUGAGCACAGCAACCCUGUCAAGUACAGUCUGGCUGCAUCUAUAGAACAGAAUUAAUGCAGUUUGGCACAACCUGAAUGGCCAUGGUUCAAAGUUAUGGAAUCCCAGAUAUAUAGUUUGUUGUGGCACCAGCACUCUUUGGCAGAGAGGGCAAAAGAUUGAGUAAACUACAACUUCCAUGAUCCCACAUCAUUGAACCGUGGCAGUUAAAGUCAUGUCAAACUGCAUUAGUUCUACAGUGUAGAUGCAUCCUCUUUCAAUUUUAGAUGAAGGCAAACCUUGCACACACAAAAAAAAACAAAAACCCUGUGAUAGGGUCUUUUAGACACCAUAAAGAAAAAAAUUACUUGAAGACAUACAACAGCAUUAUGAUUUGCAAAUAUACAUUGGGAACGUGGGUGGUGGAAAUGGCAAAGCACCUUCUCUGGUUUUUCUAUUUCGGGGUGUCCAUUUUCGAAGUUGCACUUUAUGGAAGCAUGUGGAAAGUAUUCCGGGAGUCUGCUAUACUCAUUUCUGUUUGUAUUAUUUCUUGCUUGGCUUAGAAAUUAAGUACAGUAAACUAUUUCCUAGCACUUGUGAAUUCAAUGUUGGAAAACACAAUGCAGUGUGAGCGCCUCCUAGCUGCUGAAUGUGCUGGGCUCUAAAUAAUGUACGCUGUAUAUUAAAAUGCUUCCUACCA